CACCCUGCCCCUUCCCUUCCCUUCCCUUCCCUUCCCUAGGCCAGACCACGUUCUGCUACCGAGUAUUCUUCUGUGGGAGAUCGGAAGCGACGAGUAUUAAUUUGUUUGUACUCGAAGGGAGUAGCGAUCGUACGUCUCGUCCGCCUGGCCGUCGCAGCGGGCGUGGCUCGAUUCCGUUGCCGUUUCGGUAAAGUUCGUCGGUAGAGUCGCGGGUUGGCUCUGUUUCUGUUUCGGAUUUUACAGAGCAAAUUGUACAGUGUAGUAGACCCUGUUCUCUGUUAAUCGAUACAAGGUUUGAAGGAGUUUAUGCAAAAUUAAGGGCAAAAUCAUGUACAAAAACGUACUUCAUCUACAUGCAUGAUUCGAUAAUUAGAGUAUGCUCGCCUCUAGAAUUUUCGUUUUGGCGAUUCAAUUGAUAGCGGGCUCUGCUCUGGCUACACACUGCACUUGACUGUUCUGGUGGUUGGCUGGUCUCGCCCUGAAGUCCUGAACUGAGCUUGGUUUUUCUGUUUCCCUCAUGCAGAUUUUUCUGUAAAAAAGAUAAAGCAUAUAAAAUCCACACACACACACACACACACACAAAAUACUCCUAGAGAGCACCUAUGUGACGGCCUAGGAUAAGAAGGUGGUUAAACAAAUCGUAAAGGACUAAAGGGCGUCAUGUGACCCAAUUUCACGUUUCCCCAAUCUGAGAAACGACCAAGCACAGGCAGUGAGAAGCGUCUGAACCGGAUGUAAGUAAACAUCUCUCUCCAGCUCCAGGAGAUAGCAUGAAUCGGCUAUCAGAUUCAUCGAAGCCGUGCAGGGGCUGCUCCAGUGUUGGCAAUCGCAGCGCUGCGGAAAAGGGACGGCUUGUAUCCAUCCACCUCGCCGGAUCUCGUCGCCUAGCAGCCGCACGAAAAUCUUUCACGAUCCCGACUUGAAUGGCCGCGUUGCGUGUGGCCCGGCCUCACCACGAGGCGCGCGGGCGCGGGGCCGGCCGCAGGGCGCGUACCCUCCCUAUACUAGUACCCACACGCGGCACAUGAUGCCAGCCACCCACACUGACACGGCCCUCCCCUGCCGCCAUUGACCUGUAGCGCCGCCGACGGGUGGUGCCCCGGCCGCUGCCGCUGCCGCUGCCGUCCUGUAGGGGUGUGGAAGUGGAGCCCCGUGUCAACGUGAUCCUGGGCCCGCGUUGAAUGUGGCCGUCGGCCCACGUGCUGGCCUUAAAUAUCUCGUGCCUUGGAUACGCAUACGUAUGCGCUGGGGGAGAGAGCGCAGCGAGUGAAUGCGUCGAUGCUGGAAUAGCCCUGCCUGACGACGCAGUAGUGACCGUCCCUGUGCGUAGCCCUUCAUUGAAUUGAAUACACUGGAGGCUCCAUCGUUGGGAGCACGGAAAGGCCAAAUGGGCACCGUACCUUGCUGGUGAAAACUGAAGAGGGCACAAGAGCAUCAGCAGCAGCAGGAAGUUUCUCAGUAAAAGGGCGGCACUACGACUUGUUCCGAUCUUUCAGGGCGUGCACCCAUUUCCUGAUGGAUCAAUGCUGCUUUUGCAUCUUCUUUUAGGGAGGCUCUCUUUUUGUCCCCCCAGCCGUCCAUUCGAUUGUUUAGGGAGAUUUCCGGUACCUUUUCUUCGGUUUGGGAUGGUCCAAAGAUCCUGCUCCAUGAUGCCAUUUGGUGGUUUAGCACAAGGGAGGUGGAAGGACUGUGCCCUUUUACACUAUAAUAAUAGUAAAGUGUAAAGCAACAAGUGAACAGCAUUUCUCCUUUUAUUUGUUUUUGCUCGAGAGAUGUCUUCGUUACAUGUUGUUAUGCUUCCACAUUGUAAUGGAAAUGAAUAAUGCCUCUUCACAGUCCUGGCAGCUGGUUCAGGAAUUUGAUUUUCCU